CAAUUUUAGAGAUGUGGUUAUUCUUAGAAAGGUCCUGAGAUUUGCAGAUGGAACUGUGGGGAAGAAAGAGAGAUAGUGCAGGUGACAUGUUUGUUAAAAUGUUGCUUUGGUUCUUAUGAAGUGAAAAGUUGGUUGGGUCUAGAGAUCAACGCUUAUGUACAAAAUUUAUGGGCCCGAGUUCUCCUUUGAGAAGUCUUUUAUGUUCAUGACAUGGAAAGAGAGGAAAACACAGAACUUAUCUUCUCCUCAGCACAAUUUGAAGACCAUACACUUGGAAGUAAAAGAAAUGGAUAAUUUGCCAAUUGGAUUUGGGUUUUGAUUAGGUUCUAAAGCACAUUCCGAAACGGUGCCACGUUGAAAUAUUAUUUCGUGGUUAUCGAUGCAACUAAUACUGUUUUUCUAUUUUUUAUCAUUCGUACGUUAUAAGAUACAUUCGAAUCAUUGAACUCUAAAUUAAGAUGAUUAUAAAUAAAUGGAUUGACCUGAGUUUAAA